rnacentral:lncRNA from 1 species
CAUUCAGGUUCCCUGGAAAACGACCCCUGCCUGGAAGCCGGGCUCCUCGGCCGCGGGGCAACGGUUCUCUGUGAAUCCCUGAGCUCUGCGUCGAUGGAAGCGCAUGCUUUCUCUGAGUUUGCGCAACAGCGUUUUGUCGGGUCUGGUGAGAGGGGUUGAUCCUACAGCCCUGAGAGCCACAGACGCCUCUGCUGAAAACCCUGCUGGGAAAAGUGGGGAGCCCGUGGCCCACCGGCGCAGGUACAGAAGCGAGGGAAGGUGCCUGGUUCUUCCACUGUAAUCGUCCUUCCACCACCAGCUCAUCCGUGGGGCCAGGAGGAAGUGCGGGGAAGACGCUGACUUACCUAUGCAUCACACACACGUUGAAACCCACCAGUUCCCCUGGCCCUCUGCCAUCCGUAUUUCCCAGCACUCCCAGCUUGAAACAGGCUGAGCUCACCUCAGACGCAGAAGGAGGAAAGAGAGUUUGGCACUGACUUACAGAAAAG